rnacentral:lncRNA from 1 species
GGAUCCAGUCCCUCAACUGCUCCUGGGAGGUGUGGACCAAGGUGACUGACUCUGUUUCCUUUGGGCUCUUCUAUAGCUCCAGUCCCAAAGCUGGGGAGAAGAAAUGCUCUCCAGUGGUGAAGGAGCUGCAGGCCAGCCGCUACACCCGGUACCACUGCAGCCUAAAUGUGUCCGACCCCGCUGCACACAGCCAGUACACCGUCUCUGUUAAGCGGCUGGAACAAGGGAAGUUCAUCGAGAGCUUUAACCACAGUGAGUUUGCCCUGCCUCUGCAUGAGUUCCCAGUACUCUAGGGUCCAUGGUGUCACCCCAAUAAACACGGGACCUCUUUG